GAUUAACGCUGGCGGCGUGCCUAACACAUGCAAGUCGAACGAAGUGGCGGACGGGUGAGUAACGCGUGAGUAACCUGGAUUAGAGAAGGGGAUAGCCUUUGGAAACGAAGAAUAAUACCAUAUGCUCUAAGAUGGACUUGAGUCUGAUUAGUUAGUUGGUGGGGUAACGGCCUACAAAGACAGCACUCAGUAGCCGGCGUUGGAGAGUGGACGGCAAAAUUAGGACUGAGACACGGCCCAGACUCUACGGGAGGCAGCAGUGGGGAAGUUUGCACAAUGGGGGAAACCCGGAUGCAGCGACGCCGCGUGAUUUAGAAGGCCUUCGGGUUGUAAAAAUCUGUUCUAUGGGAAGCAGUACCAUAGGAAUAAGGACCGGCUAAUUACGUGCCAGCCGCCGCGGUAAUAC
rnacentral:rRNA from 1 species